rnacentral:rRNA from 1 species
AUUGAACGCUGGCGGCAGGCCUAACACAUGCAAGUCGAGCGAGCGGCGCACGGGUGAGUAAUAUAUAGCUAAUCUGCCCCUUGCUGGAGGACAACAGUUAGAAAUGACUGCUAAUACUCCAUAGCAAGGGAUGAGACUAUAUCGUAUCAGAUAGUCGGGGGGGUAAAGGCCUACCGAGGAUAGGACGCGUAACUGGUCUGAGAGGAUGAUCAGUCACAUUGGAACUGAGACACGGUCCAAACUCCGACGGGAGGAAGCAGUAGGGAAUAUUGCGGAAUGGGGGAAACACUGACGCAGCAACGCCGCGUGGAGGAUGACACUUUUCGGAGCGUAAACUCAUGUUGUUAGGGAAGCGGUACCUAACGAAUAAGAACCGGCGAACUCCGUGCCAGCAGCCGCGGUAAUAC